AGUUGAAAAAGGCAAACUAUCUGAAAGGGUAGGACGCAAAGUUAUGGGUCUUAGGCAUUUUAAUGCUAUGACCGCCAGACUACCAAC
rfam:Candidatus Atribacteria bacterium RBG_16_35_8 RBG_16_scaffold_93988, whole genome shotgun sequence.